GGGGGAUAUUGCACAAUGGGGGAAACCCUGAUGCAGCGACGCCGCGUGAGGGAAGACGGCCUUCGGGUUGUAAACCUCUGUCUUCGGGGACGAAUAAAUGACGGUACCCGAGGAGGAAGCCACGGCUAACUACGUGCCAGCAGCCGCGGUAAUACGUAGGUGGCAAGCGUUGUCCGGAAUUACUGGGUGUAAAGGGAGCGUAGGCGGGGAGGCAAGUUGAAUGUCUAAACUAUCGGCUCAACUGAUAGUCGCGUUCAAAACUGCCACUCUUGAGUGCAGUAGAGGUAGGCGGAAUUCCUAGUGUAGCGGUGAAAUGCGUAGAUAUUAGGAGGAACACCAGUGGCGAAGGCGGCCUACUGGGCUGUAACUGACGCUGAGGCUCGAAAGCGUGGGUAGCAAACAGGAUUAGAUACCCUGGUAGUCCACGCCGUAAACGAUGAUUACUAGGUGUGGGGGGACUGACCCCUUCCGUGCCGGAGUUAACACAAUAAGUAAUCCACCUGGGGAGUACGGCCGCAAGGCUGAAACUCAAAGGAAUUGACGGGGGCCCGCACAAGCAGUGGAGUAUGUGGUUUAAUUCGAAGCAACGCGAAGAACCUUACCAGGUCUUGACAUCGAGUGACGAACUUAGAGAUAAGUUCUUCCUUCGGGACACGAAGACAGGUGGUGCAUGGUUGUCGUCAGCUCGUGUCGUGAGAUGUUGGGUUAAGUCCCGCAACGAGCGCAACCCUUAUCAUUAGUUGCUACGCAAGAGCACUCUAAUGAGACUGCCGUUGAUAAAACGGAGGAAGGUGGGGAUGACGUCAAAUCAUCAUGCCCCUUAUGACCUGGGCUACACACGUACUACAAUGGUGAUCAAACAGAGGGAAGCAACACAGCGAUGUGAAGCAGAACCCGAAAAAUCAUCUCAGUUCAGAUUGCAGGCUGCAACUCGCCUGCAUGAAGUCGGAAUUGCUAGUAAUCGCGGAUCAGCAUGCCGCGGUGAAUACGUUCCCG
rnacentral:rRNA from 1 species